GACUCUCGGCAACGGAUAUCUUGGCUCUCGCAUCGAUGAAGAACGAAGCGAAAUGCGAUACUUGGUGUGAGUUGCAGAAUCUCGUGAACGAUCGAGUCUUUGAAAGCAAGUUGCCCCCGAGGGCCCUGGGCCAAGGGCACGCUUGCCUAGGGGUCA
rfam:Nelumbo nucifera unplaced genomic scaffold scaffold01938, whole genome shotgun sequence